GGGCUUGUAGCUCAGCUAGGUAGAGCAAUCGGCUCUUAACCGAUCGGUCGAGGGUUCGAAUCCCUCCAAGCCCG
rnacentral:tRNA from 1 species